GAUGAAGAACGUAGCGAAAUGCGAUAAGUAGUGUGAAUUGCAGAAUUCAGUGAAUCAUCGAAUCUUUGAACGCACAUUGCGCCCUUUGGUAUUCCUUAGGGCAUGCCUGUUCGAGCGUCAUUUAAACCUUCAAGCUCAGCUUGGUGAUGGGUGACUGUCCUCCCCUCGCGGGGGGACUCGCCUCAAAAACAUUGGCGGCCGGUACAUUGGCUUCGAGCGCAGCAGAAACGCGGUCUCGAGUCCGGUGGAUCGGCUCCCAUAAGUCUAUUCUUUUAUUUUGACCUCGGAUCAGGUAGGGAUACCCGCUGAACUUAAGCAUAUCAAUAAGCGGAGGA
rnacentral:misc_RNA from 1 species